UGACGAUAGUUUCGGACUUGAGGGUCCUAG
rnacentral:sRNA from 1 species